rnacentral:tRNA from 3 species
GGGGGUGUAGCUCAGCUGGUUAGAGCGCCUGCCUGUCACGCAGGAGGUCGCGGGUUCGAGUCCCGUCACUCCCGCCA